rnacentral:rRNA from 1 species
GUGGCGGACGGGUGAGUAACACGUGAGUAACCUGCCCUUCAGUGAGGAAUACCGGCGAGAAAUCGCCGACAAGACCGCAUACGCUCGGGCAACCGAGCAAAGCCCGCAAGGGCGCUGAGGGAUGGGCUUGCGCCCGAUUAGUUAGUUGGCGGGGUAACGGCCCACCAAGACGAUGAUCAGUAGGGGAACUGAGAGGUUGAUCCCCCACACUGGCACUGAGAUACGGGCCAGACUCCUACGGGAGGCAGCAGUAGGGAAUAUUGGUCAAUGGAUGGAAGUCUGAGCCAGCCAUGCCGCGUGCAGGAAGAAGGCCUUAUGGGUUGUAAACUGCUUUUGCCAGGGGAUAAAAUAGCUGUGCGCAGCGAAUUGCAGGUACCUGGUGAAUAAGCCACGGCUAACUACGCGCCAGCAGCCGCGGUAAUACGUAGGUGGCAAGCGUUGUCCGGAUUUAUUGGGUUUAAAGGGUGCGUAGGCGGCCCUGUAAGUCAGUGGUGAAAUACUCCAACUUAACUGGAGGGGUGCCAUUGAUACUGCAGGGCUUGAGUGGAGUAGAAGUAGGCGGAAUUGACGGUGUAGCGGUGAAAUGCUUAGAUAUCGUCAAGAACACCGAUAGUGAAGACAGCUUACUAUGCUUCAACUGACGCUGAGGCACGAAAGUGUGGGGAUCAAACAGGAUUAGAUACCCUGGUAGUCCACACUGUAAACGUUGAUGACUCGCUGUUGGCGAUACACUGCCAGCGGCCAAGCGCAAGCGAUAAGUCAUCCACCUGGGG